AAGCAAGGGGCAUGNCGUUAGUACGGCGAGUGAAGCGGCAAAAGCUCAAAUUUGAAAUCUGGCACCUUCGGUGUCCGAGUUGUAAUUUGAAGAAGGUAACUUUGGAGUUGGCUCUUGUCUAUGUUCCUUGGAACAGGACGUCACAGAGGGUGAGAAUCCCGUGCGAUGAGAUGCCCAAUUCUAUGUAAAGUGCUUUCGAAGAGUCGAGUUGUUUGGGAAUGCAGCUCUAAGUGGGUGGUAAAUUCCAUCUAAAGCUAAAUAUUGGCGAGAGACCGAUAGCGAACAAGUACAGUGAUGGAAAGAUGAAAAGAACUUUGAAAAGAGAGUGAAAAAGUACGUGAAAUUGUUGAAAGGGAAGGGCUUGAGAUCAGACUUGGUAUUUUGCGAUCCUUUCCUUCUUGGUUGGGUUCCUCGCAGCUUACUGGGCCAGCAUCGGUUUGGAUGGUAGGAUAAUGACUAAGGAAUGUGGCUCUACUUCGGUGGAGUGUUAUAGCCUUGGUUGAUACUGCCUGUCUAGACCGAGGACUGCGUCUUUUGACUAGGAUGUUGGCAUAAUGAUCUUAAGCCACCCGUCUUGAAACACGGACCAANA
rnacentral:rRNA from 1 species